UUACAGUUCCAUACUGGGGUAUUAUCUUGAUGGGAUUAGUAGCAAUUCUGGGUGUUGCCUUAAUCUUGGGAUUGCUGUUUGGAGUAAGUAUUUGUCUUAAAUAAAUGACUGUAUUAAAUAUUUCUGAACCGAAAUUGCUGAAGCCAAUAACAGCAACCCAUAACCACUGAUUUAUGUUCAACUGACAAAUGUUAAUUAUGACUUUAAUCAUUAAUAACUUGUGCUAAGCAUUACCCAAUUCAUUUUUCGAAACUUUAAUAUGUCCACGGCAUUUAUUUCAGUAACACUAUCUCUAUAUUAAAUUACCUUAUUAACACAUUAACAAAUAACACAUUCUUUCCAAUAACAAUAUGUUUGAUGGGCAGCUAAAAUUAUAUCCUAGAUAUUUCUCAUGUCUUAAAAGUCAUACUAAGAAGUCUGGACACCAUUUUCUAUAUAGUUCAUCCGCCGCAACAUUAACUGUCAGUGAGUUUCCCUAACACUUUUCUCCUAAUGUCUUUCCCCUCCAGUUCUUGGCCUGUGCAAGGACCUCUGCCACCUACACUGUAGAGAGUUAUCCUGCCUACUUUACACAUUCAAGGUGGUGGAACCCUACACGUCUCUCCAUGGUCCGAGACCCUGAGCAUGGAAUCCAGUCAAGACCAAACAUUAGACGACUAUCAAGCCAGUCAGAGAACUACAAACUUCAUCAAAGAGCACAACAAUCUGGACAGAGCCACAAAUAAUCCACAUUGAUUCACUAAGCGAUGUUGGGAUUUAAACUGGCAUGGCAGCAAAGUUACUCUAAAAAUGCUAUUUACUAGCAGGUGUAACUCUGCUGUUAUGCCUAUUAUUAAACACUUCUCACUGGAGGAAUCUCCGUAGUAAACUAGAGGAACCACAAUGUCAUUCUGUAUUCACAAAUGGCACUGAGGUUUCAAGGGCACAUAAAGGUAAUUUUUCUGGAGCUACACCUGGUCUCCCUAGAAAAGUACACAAGUAAAAAUAACUCUUUAUAUGCAGUGAUCUUUCCCUGUAGCACUGAAAAUACAAUAUAAUAGUUAUAUAAUCUACAGGAUUGGCAUACAGUCAGACUGAGAUGACUGACUACCAUACAAUAUAAAAAAUAAAUUGCAAAAAAGUGAGAACCUCCGGAACGCUCAGAAAAAAGCAAUAUAGGUCUAGUGGGCUCUUUUCUUUCUCCACCCCAUGCGCUGCGGAGAGUAAAUACAUUAAAAAUGUACCCAGGAGAUUCUCAGUCUCACGUCUUAUAGACCUUGGCAUGUCUUCUUUGUGAUUUGUACUGAUUAUCUUAUAAAGUGUUGCUGGUUGCAGCUAUAAUUGACAUGUUUAAGGCUGCUUUUUUCCCUAGAUUUGUUUACUGAGCUUAGUUAUUAGCCGUCUAGCCGUUACAGUGAAUAUCACAAAUCUUUAAACUGAUUUCCAAGUGUGAGUGAAUUCAGCCUAUAGAAUCAAUGUGAAUCUCCUGCACUCUGAUUUAUUGUAUUAUUUUAAAGAUGCGGAAACUUCCUAGAAAAACAAGGCUAGACUGGCGGUAACUAUACAGAAACCUAGCCAUGUUUAGGAACAUUCCAACCAAGGUUUAAUUGACGAAUCACUUGAAUGUUCAGUGGGGCUGGGACUCACAUAACUGAGAAUUUGCAAUAUAUAAGCCUCAAUUUAAUAUUUUUGUAAAAGCUAUUAAAAUGAUUUAAUAUUUUGAAAAAUACAGUAGUAUUUUAAUAUUCUGAC